UCCUACGGGAGGCAGCAGUGGGGAAUAUUGGACAAUGGGGGGAACCCUGAUCCAGCCAUGCCGCGUGUGUGAAGAAGGCCCUCGGGUUGUAAAGCACUUUCAGCGAGGAAGAACGCCUAGCGGUUAAUACCCGCUAGGAAAGACAUCACUCGCAGAAGAAGCACCGGCUAACUCCGUGCCAGCAGCCGCGGUAAUACGGAGGGUGCAAGCGUUAAUCGGAAUUACUGGGCGUAAAGCGCGCGUAGGUGGCUUGAUAAGCCGGUUGUGAAAGCCCCGGGCUCAACCUGGGAACGGCAUCCGGAACUGUCAAGCUAGAGUGCAGGAGAGGAAGGUAGAAUUCCCGGUGUAGCGGUGAAAUGCGUAGAGAUCGGGAGGAAUACCAGUGGCGAAGGCGGCCUUCUGGACUGACACUGACACUGAGGUGCGAAAGCGUGGGUAGCAAACAGGAUUAGAUACCCUGGUAGUCCACGCCGUAAACGAUGUCGACCAGCCGUUGGGUGCCUAGCGCACUUUGUGGCGAAGUUAACGCGAUAAGUCGACCGCCUGGGGUGUACGGCCGCAAGAUUAAAACUCAAAUGAAUUGACGG
rnacentral:rRNA from 1 species